CAGUCUGCCACACUCAGAGGGAAAUUCCAACUGCUCUGGAUGAGUCACUUCCCCUCGAUUACCCUUCUUCAAAGGCCUCCCUCCUUGUGAAAUGUGAGGCUUUAUCAGGCUGCCUGACAAAUGCCUGGCCAGCGGGGAUCAGAGGCAAACGCCACUGCAGUUUGGCCCUGUUGUCAGAGCGAGUCACUGGCUGAGAAGAUGAAUCUGUCCUGGGCCUCAAAGCCAGGGCCGUAGCAGCCUCUCUUCUGGGCACCGAGAAGGCAGUGCUGAGCCCAGGGCUGCACUGGGAGAGACAAGGAGGGGCCCGAGUGUCUCAACCUUGGAAGAAACCUGGACCUCAGACUCAGUGCCCCUCCCAGCUCUGGCUGCAGGCUGUAGACACUUCAUUGUCUCCUGCUGAGCGACUGAGGACUUGGGAGGAAAUCCUGCUUAGAACUUCAAACCUCCAUUCCCAGAGCCGCAACCAGACACUGGAGGGGCAAAGAAGGUGGCAUCAGGAGAUCAUGAGGAGGGUCUCCCCGGGCAUGGAUGGACCUCCUGCCUGGAGGGGCUCAGUCCAGGAUUUCCCAAAAGCCAGCCCCAAGACCUGUGCUAAGCUUCUUACAUCCAAAUACUGGGAAAUAGAAAAUACAGAUCGCAGAUUCUGUAACAUGGGAUCUCUCUCUCCCUUCUCCUCACCUGUGCCUGCGUGCAUGUGUGGCUGUGUGGAUUGGGAGCCACUGAGACCCAGAGAUGGCAAAUGCUCUCAGCGGACAGCAUGUCCCCUGCCAGGGGCUUCAGGCAUGUACCUAUUAACUUUUCUGGAGGGGCGGGACAGCCACGGUCUCAGGUGUUUAAAAUCUCUUAAAGGUUUGACCCAUAGGAAUGUGUCAGCAGAGUGCUAAGAAUAUGGAGUCAGAAGGCCUUCUAAUUUCAUAUUCUGUCACUUAGUGGCUCCGUCAUUUAUUGGCAGCAUAAUUUUCAGCAAGUCACUUGCUUUCUGAAGCCUCAAUUUCCUCAUCUAUAAAAUGGGGAUAUUGAUGCCUGUCUUGCUGUGGAAUCUUCAUGUGAGCAUAUUUUGAAAACCACAGGCCAGGCACGGUGGCUCACACCUGUAAUGCCAGCACUUUGGGAGGCCAAGGCAGAUGGAUCACAAGGUCAGGAGUUUGAGGCCAGCCAGGCCAAUGUAGUAAAACCCCAUCUCUACUAAAAAUGCAAAAAUUAGCAGGGCAUGGUGGCAGGCGCCUGUAGUCCCAGCUACUUGGGAGGCAGAGGUGUGAUAACUGCUUGAACCCAGAGACGGAGGUUUCAGUGAGCUGACAUCACACCUUUGUACUCCAGCCUGGGCGACAGAGUGAGAUUCCGUCAAAAAAAAGAAAACUGCAAAGCUCCACUUUUUAACCCCGAUGAAAUCCAGAACCAGACUGACUUUUCAAAGGAGAAACCUUUCAGGCUGAAUUUUCUUCCACUUCUUCCAAGUCCAGCUGUAUCUCAUAUUGAAAGAUGAUCUCCAUGGAGGAGCCCCCAUCCCGCCCAAAGGUUUCUCGUACUCAGUCUUUGGGCGACACCUGCUGGCCGUAGCAGGUACUGUGUCCUCCUGUAGCUAAACAGCUCUGCGGAGGAAGCUUACCCAUCUCCUUAGACAUUCGCAGCCACGCUGCAGGUCAGUGUUCUAGUCCCACUUCUACAGAUCAAAAAGGUGAGACUUGGUCCUCCCAGCUCAUGAGAGGUGCAGUGAAUCUCUCACUCCAGGUUCUUGGCUCCAUCUCAUCCCUACUUCUUGCUCUUAGGCUGGACGGAGUGGGGAGUCCUUUGCCUGGGAGGAGGACAACUCCCCACCCCCCAAAUCAUCCUAAAGUAGGCACUGGGAUUAGGAGCAAGGUCAGGGUUGAAGCCAGGACAGGUCAGGUUGUCCCUGUGUCAACAGCCCCACCAGGAAGCGCACCACAUCCAGUUGUUCCCCAUCUGCAGAACAACCAGACGGAUGGCCAGGACAUCAGUGAUACAAAUUCACUCUGAGGAGGCAGAGAGAUGUCAUUUGGCCAGGCUGUGUGGUGAGGAGCUGGGGACAGGCUGCCCCCUGAGCCUGUUGCCUCCGUGCCCCCUGUGUGGGGCCGUGGCUAGCCUGAAAUCCCGUGCGUGGCUUGGGGGCAGUGGCUGCACCUGGCCAAGGAAGUGAAACAUAUUGUGAUUGAGAAUGAGAAUUUGGCCUCAUCCUUGAGAGAUGCACACAGACUGAUCAAUGCAUGAAAUUGUAUAACAUAUGAAAUUUGCUUCAGAAAAAUUCGCGGUGAUGGGAGCAGGGGCACGGAUGAAUCAAAACUGGUUGCAAGUCAACUAUUAUAUCAUCUGGGAAAUAAAGGCAUAGCGAUUAGUUAUAUAUACUAUUCUCCCUACUUUUGUAUAUGCUUGAGAUUCUCCAUGUUCAAACUUUCUAAAAAAUGAAACAGCAGAAACACUACCACCACCACCAAAGUCAAUACAAAGAAAGAUAACUCGAAAUUAGACUGCCUUGAGCAUCUGAUGUGGUAUGAAUUGGACAAGUUAAUUUCUCUAUGCCUCAGUUUCAUUGUCUUUAAAAUGGGGAUGGUAAUAAUCAUACCAGUCUUAAGGGUUGUUUUGAGAUUCUGCAUCUGGAGUAAUUAGCACAGUGCUGACCCCACAGCAAGCUCUGAAUUAUAAUCAUUGUUAUUAGUAGGAGUCCAGGGUUCUGGUUAUAAUUUGCCAAAAGAAGAGGCUGCUUUAGCUGAUGCAGACAAACAGUUCAUCAGCCCAGCUCAGAGUUCAGACCGAGGAGUCUUUGAGGGCACAGCCCUGAGCUGCCACGUGCUGGGCGUAUGGGUGGCUCAGAUGGGUAGACACACACCAUAGAGUCAGGCUUUCCUUAGACCCUGUAGGGAGGCCUUCUCCCUGCCUCUCUGCAUAUUCUUCCCAUUAUUCAAGCCCAACUCGCACCCACUUGAUUUUUGCUGACCAUUCCUUUCUCUGAGUUUAAGCAGCUCUCUUCACAGAUGCAUCGUACCUCUGCCCUAGGUGAGACUGUAAAUGUCAUCAAACCCAGCCACAUCAUCAUAGCGUCAUUCGACAGUCAUCAAAGACCUGCCUUGGGUGGUGAGGAUGGAGUGGUGAGCAAGGUGGGCAAGAGACGGAGGACAACACGGACUGGGAGGGAGGUAAACACCACUUAGCCAGGAGGUCAGGAGCCCUGGACCUAAGCCCUGACUUUGCCAUGUGACCUGGGAUGCCCUUCAUCUGCUGGCCACUGUUUCCUUCUGGAUGGGACAAGGCACUUGCAGGAGAUGCUCCCCAGGUCCCUUCACACUCUAACCUGCUGACUCUGAGCAUGUAGGUCUCCCUGUGUUGCUCUUUAAACAUCUUCCUCACUGGAGUGCAAGCUUCCUGAGGGCAGGAACUCUGUGCUAGACUUUCCAGAGAUCCGGGAGCUCCUUGCAUGGGGGCUGGGUACAAGUGUGGGCCAGAAACAGUGAAAGAACAGAGUUUUUAACCGGGAGAGGUGGGAAAUGGAUCCCAAAAAAACCUCAUACUGUACCACUUGGAGAUUGACGAUGGCCCACCAGCAUGUUAAAGCCUGCAGUAAAAAAAAAAAACAAAAGCAACUCCCACAAAAACCUAUUUACCUUUGAUGAUUCCAGUGUUUUCCAAACCUAUUUGACCAUAAAUCAGUUUUCGCACCUGAUUCAUUACCUUCUCAUGAAACACUUGUGAAAUGUUAUAUUAGAUCUUUUUGCGUUUUCAGUCGGGUUUAUUAAAAACAAGGUCAAGUUUGGCAAAGAUGCUAGGUUUCAAUGUCAUCGUGGCCUGAAAUGGGACCUCAUUACUGCAUUCUUAGCUGAGCUCUGCCACCCUCACUGGGGCUGGGCUAGGAUCUUAGAAGACAUGCUCAGUCACCUGUUCUAUAAGUACAAUUUGACCCAGGCAACACCUCAUUUCCCAACAUUCGCCAGAUGAUGAGUGGGAUCAUGUUUUCUCUCAAAUAAUCCACCUUAGGAUUACAGGCCGAGGAGCCCAGUUCAGUAGAAGUUCAUGGGAAACUGGCCCAAACUGGCAUGUCAGUCCGACAAACACCGCGCAACAGUAGGAGAAGAUCAGGUGCCUGGACUGGAGCUGCUAACACCUCAUCUGUAUUCAUGAGUCUAUUCCGUUUUAAGAGACAUUUUUUUUUUUUCUUUUUUGAGACAGACUCUGUCUCCCAGUCUGGAGUAUAGUGGUGAAUCACAGCUCACUACAUCCUUGACCCCCUAGGCUCAGGCAAUCCCCCCACCUCAGCCUCCCAAGUAGCUGGGACUACUGGCAUGUACCACCAUGCCCGGCAGGUGGAAUUUCUCCUGGUCAGAGUGGCUGGGGGGCUUACUGGCAUUUUGUAGUGACUCCUGGACUUUGAGGAGGGUCUUGGGUGUCCAAGUAGUGGCCAGUCACGGCGACAGUACGGAUGCUGCCUUGCAGAGCCACCGUGGAAGGCAUUAGGGCAGCACUGGGUGGUCUCCCGUCCUGAGAUCCUCCAGCGCAUAGACUGGCAAGUCCAGCCCAUGGUGAAAUGGCCAGACUUUUUAGGAAGAGGACUUUCAAAUAUAAGUUCAACUUUCAUCAUCUAAGUCAAGGUCACCCUCAUGGGCCUGGGCCUUGACCUUCUCUUUUCUGGGGAGCAAAGUCUCUUCAAGGGAGCUAGCACUUUUAAGUACCUUCUGUGUGACCAGCACUGUACAAAUAAAUACAUGAUUGACAUACAGACUCAAGACCUCUGAGGCAAGAGGGGAGCCCUGGUCAGAAUCCAGAGAACCUGGUCCCCAGCCUCAGCGUGACCCAAGGAAAGUUCCCGCAAUGGAUUCAGGUUUUGCAGGGCCGGAAGCUUAGACCAUUGAGGAGAACCUCUCUAAGGUAAACAAUACGCAAUUAUGAUUACAAAAUUAGGUACAGAUAUGAUUGUUAAUUUAGAAUGAUAAAAAGAAAUUGCAACAAGUUAUAAAUCUCAAAAAAACUGACCAAUGCCAUCAUGAAAUCCAGACAGAUACAUAAUAUUUGUAUUAACUAAAUGCCUGACACAACUCGAAAAUGCUUUCCAAAUUAAAAAAAAUUUUUUUACAUUACUUCUGCUCACAGCUUUACAUGGGCUGGCUUCUGGCUCCAUGCAUUUCAACCCUUGUCUCUCCUGUGCCUACACACAUCUCUGGUACAGACAUCUGAGGCCACAGUUAUACUGUGAUACAACUCUGGCUCUGCAGCUUCAUGUUGCAAAGCGUGAAAUGGAUGAAGACAUAAAGCUUCUGGAACCUAAAAAUGCUGCCUACAGGGUCACGAUGACGACCCUGAAGACCACAGUGACGUGGGCUGUGCAGGAACCCCCUGGACUUCUUUGGUUUUGGGGGUCAGCACUCCUACGGGGUCUAAUGUCCUGCCAAAAGCUUGCCCUUAGAGACCAGAAACUCUAAUACGAGACCUUCCAAGCUUAAGGCUUUGAUCCCAGUUAAAUGACAUCUCUCUGGAAGGCAUGGCACGUGAGGCUGUAAUCAGUUUCCAGACCUUCUACCCCACCACUCCCCAGAGAGAAACGUGACAAUGAGCUUUAGCUCCGUAGAAUCUGGACUUCACAGACCCUCUCUGGGUUGGCUUCUCAAUCAAUUUCAGAGCUGUGAGCUGAGAAGAAAUAGCAGGAGAGAGGCCACAGUUAUUCAGGAAACUCCUGUCUUGCUGGGGGCUUCCACAGCCCCUGACCAACCAUCCCGGGGGCACUGCUGAGAGAGCAGCCUGAACAACGGCAGAGACCCCAGAGACUGCAUCUGUACGGUGGGAGCCCCGGGGCUUUAAACCCUUUGCUCCAGUGAUCUUAAAGCCAUAAUAUGAUAAUCCAAACUGAUGAGAGAGUAAGUGGCAAGCAUACCGAGACAUCUCAUGAGCCCAGCAGACAGAAUUUUGGUGUGAGGAGCACCUGGGUAGUUUAAUGACACAUGCUGUUUUUUCUAUACAGGCGUCAUAGUCUAUGAAUUGCAACAAUUCAUCCUAUCUCAAGAAGAUGGAGGUAUUUUAGAUAUAUGUGUAUAUAUUUGAAGUCAAAACUGUUUAUUUUGCAUAAGUGUUUUUGUGUCUAUUAGUUUCUGAAUAUCUGUGUAUAAAAGCUUUCGUUGCUUUGCCUGCGUACAUUCUUGGAUAUGCACAUAUGCGCCUGUGCGGGGUGGGAUGGGGCCAUGUGUGUAUUUGUUUGCAUUUUCCCUGCUUUGGUCUUAGGAAGGGACCUUGCUGAUCAUCCUAGCCCGACUCUUUCACCUCACUGGUGAAGAAAUUGAAGUCCACAAGGUCAAGGUGACUUGUCACAGGUCACACAGCCGGCUAUGGAGACAGAAAUGAGGCAAGAACCUAGGAUUUCAAUUUGUGGAUGAGCACCCUUUCUAUAAUAUUAAAAUCAAUUAUAAACCUGGGGGAGGGAAGGAGGGAGAUCCUUUUAUUUUCCUCCCCCAAUCGAUACAUAAGUACUAAGAAGCUCAAUCUUGAAUUAGCUGUAGAAUACCAAAAGUUAAGUUUUUCACACUGACCUGGUUCAGUAUUGAUUCCUUUUAUGAAAACCCUAUUUAUACUCAAGUUGUCAAAGAAUUCCAGAGGGCACAUGAAGCCUUUGUUAAAAUAAUUAUAUGCCUUUGUUUUUGAAGAAAAGUAUCCAAAAUAUAUAAGCUUAUUGUUUGAGUUAAACAAUAAAAACAUCUGUUGUUUCUCA